GCCCGGGUGGUGGAAUUGGUAGACACGCAGGACUUAAAAUCCUGUGGCUUCGCGGCUGUACGGGUUCAAGUCCCGUCCCGGGUA
rnacentral:tRNA from 1 species